rnacentral:lncRNA from 1 species
AUGCUGGGAGCGAGGAGUGGGGCGUCCGAGGCGCGGGGACCGACCGCGCAGCGCCGGCCACCAGGCACCCGGGCGAGGCUGCGUGCGACGCGCCCGUUCCCGGAGCCCGGCUGCUGGCGCGACCUCCACUGCGGCUGCGCAGCUCGGGGUCUGGGGCGAGGAGAAGGGGCGCCCGAGCUCUUCGCGCCCCCACCUGCUCCCCAUCCUCUGCCUCUGAGCCCCUCGCCCGCCCGUGAGCCCAGAAGACCCGGAUGGAAUGGAGGCUGGCCAACGGAUUCCGGUCGCGUCCACGGGCGCUCCGCGGACCACGGGCUUUGGGAGAAAGAGGAGGGGCUGGGAGGGGGUCCGGCCGGAUUUUUCCAAGCUGAGCUGGAAACCCCCUCUCCUCAUCUAAAUCCAGUGUCGGGGCUGCUCACCCGGAUUCCAGGCAAGAAGUCUGCAGCCACGGAACCCGGGCGUGAAGGGAGACAAGGUGGCCCACCUACCCUCUCCACCGGGAGUUCGGCCCGGAUCUGGCCUGGGUUCAGGGCUAUGAGAACCCCUGCCCAGUCCUGAAACGAAGGCUGUCCACACAGGGGGCGGAGGGCGCUGGGUUGCCAGAGAGAUGGCUCCUGGUCCCCCAACCAGCCUGGAAGUCUGGUGCCUGCCUUUCCCCAAGUUCCGCCACCAGGACAUGCUUCUCGAAAGGGCUUCUCUGAGGCCAGGUUAAUUCACUUGCAGAUGUCCAAUUUCAGCUGUUUUAAAAACUCAGUUCCCCUUCCAGUCGGCCCCAAGUUCUGUGUAUUUCCCACCCCACCGCUUCCAUGCUCUAUUCCUCACGCGUUCUGCAGAGCCAAGCUUGGGUGGCAAUGCAUUCUCUUCCCCGGAAACAGAGCCAGGGUUUGCCUCCCUCCCUGUCCUCGGCACGUCCCCUUCCUCUAGAAUCCAGAUCCGGAUCGGUCUGCUUCACUGCCUCCCACACCCGACUACUGCCGGCUCGAGUCCGGGCUCGAGUCCGCCAAGAUUCAGCCCGGAGUGUGGACUCGCAUACGCUCACUGCUUUACCGCCUAGCCUCGCGGGAGGGACGUCGUUCCCCGAGGAUCCAACCCCGGGAUUUGCUCCUCCCCACCCAUCAGUCUCGGAGCGGCACCCCUCUUUUGUAAAAUGGAGCCAGCAGCCCGGCUUCCAGGUCCGGACUCCCCAGAUCCUCCCCGGAUCUUACCUCUCCGGACUCCCCCUCCCCUCUCCCGAAAAAA